rnacentral:rRNA from 1 species
GAUGAACGCUGGCGGCGUGCUUAACACAUGCAAGUCGAACGGUGAACACGGAGCUUGCUCUGUGGGAUCAGUGGCGAACGGGUUAGUAACACGUGAGCAACCUGCCCCUGACUCUGGGAUAAGCGCUGGAAACGGCGUCUAAUACUGGAUAUGUGACGUGACCGCAUGGUCUGCGUUUGGAAAGAUUUUUCGGUUGGGGAUGGGCUCGCGGCCUAUCAGCUUGUUGGUGAGGUAAUGGCUCACCAAGGCGUCGACGGGUAGCCGGCCUGAGAGGGUGACCGGCCACACUGGGACUGAGACACGGCCCAGACUCCUACGGGAGGCAGCAGUGGGGAAUAUUGCACAAUGGGCGCAAGCCUGAUGCAGCAACGCCGCGUGAGGGAUGACGGCCUUCGGGUUGUAAACCUCUUUUAGCAGGGAAGAAGCGAAAGUGACGGUACCUGCAGAAAAAGCGCCGGCUAACUACGUG